CCAAGCUGGUGGUGAAACCAAGAAUACAAAGAGUGUAUUCUUGUAGGAAUGUAGGACAAAGGGUGGGAACAGAAGCAAGCUGUUUAUCUUGGGACUUCUGCACAGCCAGCUGAAUGGAACAUGGGGCCAAGAAAGUGGAAAGGCUGAAUCACCAAAGAUUGUGUCACUUGUCCAAGAUCACACAGGAAGGUAUGCAACAAUAGAAAUACUGGAUAGAUAACUUCAGAGAAUAUCGAAACAUAAACUCGUGGAGAUUUCAAACCUUCUUCAGCAAAUG